rnacentral:rRNA from 1 species
GCAUAUCAAUAAGCGGAAGAAAAGAAAACCAACAGGGAUUGCCCUAGUAACGGGCGAGUGAAGCGGCAACAGCUCAAAUUUGAAAUCUGGCUCUUUCAGAGUCCGAGUUGUAAUUUGCAGAGGGCGCUUUGGCUUUGGCAGCGGUCCAAGUUCCUUGGAACAGGACGUCACAGAGGGUGAGAAUCCCGUACGUGGUCGCUAGCUAUUGCCGUGUAAAGCCCCUUCGACGAGUCGAGUUGUUUGGGAAUGCAGCUCUAAAUGGGAGGUAAAUUUCUUCUAAAGCUAAAUAUUGGCCAGAGACCGAUAGCGCACAAGUAGAGUGAUCGAAAGAUGAAAAGCACUUUGGAAAGAGAGUCAAACAGCACGUGAAAUUGUUGAAAGGGAAGCGCUUGCAGCCAGACUUGCUUGCAGUUGCUCAUCCGGGCUUUUGCCCGGUGCACUCUUCUGCAGGCAGGCCAGCAUCAGUUUGGGCGGUGGGAUAAAGGUCUCUGUCAUGUACCUCUCUUCGGGGAGGCCUUAUAGGGGAGGCGACAUACCACCAGCCUAGACUGAGGUCCGCGCAUCUGCUAGGAUGCUGGCGUAAUGGCUGUAAGCGGCCCGUCUUGAAACACGGACCAAGGAGUCUAACAUCUAUGCGAGUGUUUGGGUGUCAAGCCCGAGCGCGUAAUGAAAGUGAACGGAGGUGGGAACCCGCAAGGGUGCACCAUCGACCGAUCCUGAAGUUUACGGAAGGAUUUGAGUAAGAGCAUGGCUGUUGGGACCCGAAAGAUGGUGAACUAUGCUUGAAUAGGGUGAAGCCAGAGGAAACUCUGGUGGAGGCUCGCAGCGGUUCUGACGUGCAAAUCGAUCGUCAAAUUUGGGCAUAGGGGCGAAAGACUAAUCGAACUAUCUAGUAGCUGGUUCCUGCCGAA